UCUUUUUACAGAUUUCUAAGUUAAAUGAAACUUGUUUCACAAAUGAAACAUGUCUACCAUUUGUAAAUGGAUCCCAAUACAAGGGUGCCAAUGUGGCUUGUGAGGUCCCAGCAAACAGGUUAGUCUCUUAUUUUUUCCCAGUGUACUUUCAUUGAGAUUAAAUAUUUUAUAAAUAUUCAACCCGUUUUUUUGCUUUUUCACCCAGAAGCCAACUGUGCAGAGUGAUUUUAGGAUUUAGCAGUGAAGUCCGUAUAUGUUCCUUGCAGACCGCUGUGAAAACAGUUUCUCAGUCCCAUCAAAUCAAAUUUGAUGGGAUGAUCAGACGAGCAGGUGUGUAUGUCACGAAAAACAAAGUAAUAAUUCUUUAAGAGACAAGAUUCUCAAUGGUGUUUUGUCUUUUGUUAUACAGCAAUUUGUGGAAACUUCACGAUAGAGGAUGAUCUGCCAAACCCCCAAUUUACCUGGGCUAACACGUCCUCAAAACCUGUAAACUUUUGUGAAACAAUAAAUGAAUAUAAUAUCAGUACAUGUGAAAACAAAACAAAUGUCAUUGAGCAGCUGGAUGAGUGGUGCUCCAACACAGGAAGUGGAGGUUCUUCUUCAUCAAAUGCUACAACAACACAACCUACUAUUUCCACCGUAACCCAAAAACCCACGACUGCUGCUAAUGUCACACAGACAACUACGACAACAGGAACCACAAGCAACACCAGCACUUCCACAGCAACCACGGCCACCACAAACUCAGGUAACUGAGGUUUGCUGUAAAUAUCCAGAACAGAUUACUAUUAAAUUAAUUGAAGAGUUAGGAAAAAACAAAGACGGAUACAAUUUUACUCUUUC
rnacentral:lncRNA from 1 species